rnacentral:lncRNA from 1 species
UUCUUUCUUCCUCCCGUCAACAAAAUAUCAAGAAGAGAGAGUUGGCUCUCUCUCUCUCUCUCUCUCUCUUUCUUCCUUCCUUCUUGACGGAAAGGGGAGAAGGGGGCUCGGCCGUAGGUGGCCCACGGCCGGCGACGCUCCAUGGUCGUCGGUCUGUGGCGUGCCGGUGGUGCCACGCCCGGCGACGGCGGGCCGGCCGGAACGGAAGAGGAGAAGGCCGAACCGGCUCGGCUUCUCCAUCAUUCUGGAGGCUUUCCGGCCUCAUUCCCAAAGAAGCAAGGGCCAAAAACGAAGAAGGAGGAGAAGAAGGUGCUCACCUUGCCUCCGGCGAGGUCCUCCCGACCGGAUCGACGGCAACCGCGUCGAUUCCUCCCGCGGCAAGGAAGAACUCCAAUCUCCCUUUUCUUUUUUUUCUUUUUUUUUUUGUGUGUGUGGAAGGGCUCUCGGUUGAUGCCCUAGGAAGAGAGGGAGGAGAUUUUGGUAGGGUUUUAUCACCCUAUAACUCCCUCCGGUGGAUUCGGG